GACGAACGCUGGCGGCGUGCCUAAUACGUGCAAGUCGAGCGAAUCGAUGGGAGCUUGCUCCCUGAGAUUAGCGGCGGACGGGUGAGUAACACGUGGGCAACCUGCCUGUAAGACUGGGAUAACUUCGGGAAACCGGAGCUAAUACCGGAUACUUUCUUUUCUCGCAUGAGGGAAGAUGGAAAGAUGGUUCUGCUAUCACUUACAGAUGGACCCGCGGCGCAUUAGCUAGUUGGUGAGGUAACGGCUCACCAAGGAGACGAUGCGUAGCCGACCUGAGAGGGUGAUCGGCCACACUGGGACUGAGACCCGGCCCAGACUCCCACGGGAGGCAGCAGUAGGGAAUCUUCCGCAAUGGACGAAAGUCUGACGGAGCAACGCCGCGUGAGCGAAGAAGGCCUUCGGGUCGUAAAGUUCUGUUGUUAGGGAAGAACAAGUACGAGAGUAACUGCUCGUACCUUGACGGUACCUAACCAGAAAGCCACGGCUAACUACGUGCCAGCCGCCGCCGUAAAAC
rnacentral:rRNA from 1 species